AGAACGAACGUUGGCGGCGUGGAUUAGGCAUGCAAGUCGAGGGAAUCCCAGCAAUGGGGGAACCGGCGUAAGGGGCAGUAAGGCAUGGGUACCUACCCUGGGGCCCGGGAUAGCUUUCAGAGAUGGAAGGUAAUACCGGAUGAUGUGGCGACACCAAAGGUCAGCCGCCCUGGGAGGGGCCCAUGUGGUAUUAGCUAGUUGGUGGGGUAACGGCCCACCAAGGCGGAGAUGCCUAGCGGGUGUGAGAGCACGACCCGCGCCACUGGCACUGAGACACUGGCCAGACACCUACGGGUGGCCGCAGUCGAGGAUCUUCGGCAAUGGGCGCAAGCCUGACCGAGCGACGCCGCGUGUGCGAUGAAGGCCUUCGGGUUGUAAAGCACUGUCGAGGGGAGAAGGGGAACCUUGAUCUAUCCCUGGAGGAAGCACGGGCUAAGUUCGCGCCAGCAGCCGC
rnacentral:rRNA from 1 species